GCUUUGCUCCGUGCCCAUCAAGAGUGGGCGCUGUUCUGCCCCCCCCUCAAUCCAGCAGGGAAACAGCCGCACGACAGGGGGUGUCAGGUUGACGGUGUUUUGAAGGAAUGUGGCGAGCCGGGUUAGGCGAGGGGCGGGUGGAUUACAGAAUUCAAAAGAUGGUCCUCGUGAAGGCAGUGAAGCCAGGCAGCGAGGCGGGAGCCACGAAGAAAACCUGGGGGACAACGGUCCUGGGUGAUGCUCUGGGAACUGCGAGGGGGCCUGAGGCUCCAGCGAGACAUUCAAAAUAACGGAGCCUCUCGCAUCGCAUCUGACACCCCUAGUCCCAUCCAUCCCAGAGACUUCCUGCAAUUCAAGCUGUAUGUUUUUAUCAUUCCAUCUUUCCCGGAGCUGAGACGGUUUCUUCUUGUUGCAUCUUAUAGGUUUACGGUCGCAAUAAAAAAUUCUGGUCAGCCCGCUGAUUGAAAACGUAA